UAGACAGAUUAUUGUAUUCGACUGUAUUCACGAUAUGUAUUUGUGAAUACAGUAACGUAAAUAGCCGCAAUUCAUGGUAUAUUUAGUUGUUUUUAAACAGAAAGUAAAUCAAUUAACACAAUAGACUCCU
rnacentral:pre_miRNA from 1 species